CAGUAGCCACGGUAAUACGAAGGGUGCAAGCGUUAAUCGGAAUUACUGGGCGUAAAGCGUGCGUAGGCGGUGAGUUAAGUCUGCUGUGAAAUCCCCGGGCUCAACCUGGGAAUUGCAGUGGAUACUGGGUCACUAGAGUGUGGUAGAGGAUAGUGGAAUUUCCGGUGUAGCAGUGAAAUGCGUAGAGAUCGGAAGGAACAUCUGUGGCGAAGGCGACUAUCUGGGCCAACACUGACACUGAGGCACGAAAGCGUGGGGAGCAAGCAGGACUAGAUACCCCAGUAGUCCCUGUCUCUUAUAC
rnacentral:rRNA from 1 species